rnacentral:rRNA from 1 species
AAGGCCUAACACAUGCAAGUCGAACGAGAAAGCCCUUCGGGGUGAGUAGAGUGGCGGACGGGUGAGUAACACGUAGGAAUCUACCCAGCGGCGGGGGACAACCCGGGGAAACUCGGGCUAAUACCGCAUACGCACUACGGUGGAAAGGGGGCUUCGGCUCUCACCGUUGGAGGAGCCUGCGUCGGAUUAGCUUGUUGGUGGGGUAAAGGCCUACCAAGGCGACGAUCCGUAGCUGGUCUGAGAGGACGAUCAGCCACACUGGGACUGAGACACGGCCCAGACUCCUACGGGAGGCAGCAGUUAGGAAUAUUGCGCAAUGGGGGAAACCCUGACGCAGCCAUGCCGCGUGUGUGAAGAAGGCUCUAGGGUUGUAAAGCACUUUCAAUAGGGAAGAAAAGCGUACGGUUAAUACCCGUGCGCCCUGACGUUACCUAUAGAAGAAGAUCCGGCUAACUCCGUGCCAGCAGCCGCGGUAAUACGGAGGGAUCGAACGUUAAUCGGAAUUACUGGGCGUAAAGCGCGUGUAGGCGGUUUGGUAAGCGGAUUGUGAAAGCCCCGGGCUCAACCUGGGAACUGCAGUCCGAACUGUCAGACUGGAGUACGGUAGAGGGAGGUGGAAUUUCCUGUGUAGCGGUGAAAUGCGUAGAUAU